CAUCGCACGCACGUCCCCCCGCGAGCGCUUUUCUUCGCCGCCACCGGCUCCCCCCUCAUCAUCGCUGCAUCCCGACCGCAAAGCUACCGGCCGGCACGAAUCUGCGCCGCCCGUCCGAUAACCUUCCUCUAGCAACCGCGCAACAUCGGAUCGAGCUAUCCUCGGGUCCCUAACCUCAGUGGUCGUCACCAUCGGGGCAGGUGGUGGACUGGCGGCGUGGACGUGGUGCCUGGCGGGGGAGGGGAGUGCCGCACUGCGAGCCUCGCUCCGGCGGGUUGCGCGCUCGCCUCGCCGGUACAGGAGUGGGCAGGCAGUGGUCGCCAUGGCGCGGCCUGGGUGCCCGCUGUUCUCCUUGCGCACAUGGUGCCACGGCUGGAUCCGCAGCACCACCGCCCGCCGCCCAUGCCGGCGCUCCCACAGCCACGUUCCCGUCCACCGUCGCCCGCACCCGCCUGCGCUCAUCCAUAGCGGCGUUCUUAAUGGCUUCAGUGACCACGCCGCCUCGGCUGUGACCCAGGCCUGCUUGGCCGCCGGAUGGAUGGAUACCGGCACUACAGGGCACAGACUUCAUGCUCGUGCCGACGGAGUUCAUCCUCGAUGCCCUGGCUGCGACCCAUAUUGAUUGGCCACCGGCUGGAAGGGGACGUCCUGCUCCUCCCGACUAAGCUUGAUCGAUGUGGGGCGGUGGUACAACCUGGUGUUUAGCAGGACCACAUGAGCGGUGACUAGCAUCCAGUAGGAGGCAGCAAGGAGCAGUGAAAACUCUGAGCUAGCUGCUAGCAAUGCACCCCCUCCGCUCUCAUCUAAGUACAUGGAUUUUCAAUGGCCAAACUACUCUCUUGUUUCUUUCUCUAGCGUUUCCAGUUUUCACUAACAAUCCGUAUUUGGUAAACCGUGAACCAUGUUCAUGAGUAUCUGCCCACAACCUGUUUGAUGAUAUGCAUACGAAGGAUUGAGAUACAUUCUAAUUUUUAGGUCAAGCUCUUACCUCUGUUUAGAAAAUCAAUAUGAAGAAACAGGUGUAUCUGGUGUAUGAUCUACACUUAGAACAAGUGUAUCUGUUGUUCCAAGCUGCCGGCAUUGACGGCCAAAGAGUCGGCGAGGGUCCACGGUUCAUUUGUUUUCGUGGGGAUUAUUCAGUACAAUGCGAUCUACACUUAAGCCAAUCCGAUCCAGGUGAAAUCGGAAGUUGGUAGAUUAUUCCGACGACGGGGCUUUUACUUGUGCGGCUCUUACCAUUCCAUAGCUCUCAAGGCAUCAGGUCUGCUUUAGAGACAAACUCUCGCUCGGUUUAGUUUCCAUGUUGUGUUAUAUUCCGAUGAACUAUAUUCAUUACAAACGGUAAGCUGAAGUAGAUUAAUUAAAAAGGAUAAUAAAUUUGCUCAAUCCAUGGUCAGUUGCUGAACUGACCAGGAGCUGCACUUCAAGGAGCUAACUGUUCACUAUAAAAUAGCCAUAAAUUUGUUAGUGUUUAGGGUAUUCAUCCACUCGGUGUCCUGUAUCUGAAUUUUGUGAUCUGGAAAAUUUUACCGGUUAUUUCAUAGUAAAAUUAUAGAGUUGUUCUCCCUCUAUUUUGCUAAUCUGCUCACUUGCUUACAGUAAAUAAAUAAUUAUAUUAUCAGAAGUGGUGAUUUCAAGGAAAAGAAACAAACAUUUUGAGGUCUCUGCUAUCGCACCUGUACUGGCAGUACAUGGUGACAUUUGUUGGUGCUCUAUUCAGUUCAGUGGAGAUUGCUCCUUCAGUCACCAUGCGAAUCCAUGUCUAGCAUGUUUAGUCACAUUGAACUCUUCCAACUUUUCUUAAGCUAUGUUGUACAGACACACAAGUUUGCUGCUGAAUAUGAAUCAAUUUACUGUGAUUUUUCAUUAUCAUGUAACGUGUUCUUUUAUCUGAUGAACAAUAAUAUAAUUUCAUGCCUAAAAUCAUAGUUUGGGCAUGUAUCUCUCUGCCAUCUAAUUUCGCUUAAUUAAUUGAAGAGACAGCCGACCACCCCCUUUCUAUUGUAUAGUUAUUCCGUGCACGUGAUUACGUGAAUGUUUAUGUUAUAUAUUUGAUAUUUUUUAUGCACUCGGUUUUUUCCGUGUGUGAACUUUGCAUACUCAACACUGGGUAGGAGGAAAUAUUUGCAUUUCUAAAGGGUCAGUGCAUUGUUGUAAAUGAGUUACCAUCAAAGAGGUUCUCACAUUUUCUGUUGAAAGUAGUGGCUCAAGCUAUCUCAUAAAGCUAUAUUGUAGAUGUCCCUUCGUGCUGAUUUUUCAUGGUUACUACAUGGUAGACACAUUUACCAACCAUCCUCCGAAAAAGGGAAACUACAAUAAUUCAUAUCAAAACAUUUCUUACAACCUGAGGCAAUAUCCAUCAUUCAAUAAACAUUC